CUCACACCAGCGCCAUGCUGGUAGUAGAGGGGACGAACCAAUCCAAACCCCCCAACACCCCCCCACGGACACGCAACUACCAUUUUGGCUAGCUGAGAACCAGGCCUGUCUUUGUUCUACCCUUCCACUGCCAACUUUUCCUUAGUGGUCAGCUGGGGAACUAGGCCCUUGUUUGUUCUGAUCCAGGGAUUCAGAGUGACUAAGCACUUAUUGUCCCCGCUCAGCCACUGGGGCAAAAGAGCUCUCUCACACCAGCGCCAUGCUGGUAGUAGCGGGGACGAACCAAUCCAAACCCCCCAACAUAUGACAAUAACUUGCCCGUCCUCUGCUCCUCGUCAUGUGAUGCAGUAUUACCUCACGCCAGCUGACAAAUGAAGAAUUGGAAGGCCGAGAGCCGAUGGUUUCUCUCCCCUGGAACAGUUUAAUUCCCGCACUGACCUUGGGGCAGUUUUAACCGACUUGGCACUCUCCCGGCCCACUUAGGUGACUGCAUGUUCCUCACCCAAGCCUCACCUGCCUCACCCCUCCUCCCGCCUCCAGCGCUCCUCCAGGACUAGUGCUAAUAGAGUAUUUUGGGAAAAUCCAGAUUCCCUCUUGACUAUAAUAAUUUGUGGUUGAGAUAUGAGUAUUAAAUUUAUGACAAUUUGUAUGGGAAAAUGCGGGCGUUAGGUGUAAAUGUAACGUAAAAUACAUCAUCUCAGGCCAGUCACAUUCUGGGCAGUUCUGGUGUGCUAUGGCAUCUCCCCGUUUUGUCAGCGGCAGUCAGGUUUGCACGGUGGACAUUUUUGUUCGGAGCGCGGAGGGGAAAGCAUCGAGUUGAUUCGGGCAUGGUGGUUUCCGAUGCGUGUCUAAAGUGGGGAUUGAUACAUAGUACUUUUUUCGAUUUAGAUAUCAUAAUUCAAUUAGAUACAAGCAACGGUCUCAUGUCUAUGAGAAGAUAUGCAACUUCACUUAUCUUCCAUAUUGUCGUGGCGCACACCGCCUGUGCGCCGUGUGUAGAAUUCCAGCUGCAUC
rnacentral:sRNA from 1 species